rnacentral:rRNA from 1 species
UAGCGUAUAUUAAAGUUGUUGCAGUUAGAACGCUCGUAGUCGGAUUUCGGGGCGUUCCGACCGGUCUGCCGAUGGGUAUGCACUGGCCGGAGUGUCCUUUUUGCCGGAGACCUAUCCUACUCUUAACUGAGCGGGGUGGGGAGACGGCACUUUUACUUUGAAAAAAUCAGAGUGUUUCAAGCAGGCAGCUCGCUCUUGCAUGGACUAGCAUGGGAUAAUGAAAUAGGACUUUGGUACUAUUUUGUUGGUUUCGAACACCGAAGUAAUGAUGAGAAGGGACAGUCAGGGGCACUCGUAUUCCGCAGAGAGAGGUGAAAUUCUCAGACCCGCGGAAGACGAACCACUGCGAAAGCAUUUGCCAGGGAUGUUUUCACUGAUCAAGAACGAAAGUUAGGGGAUCGAAGAUGAUCAGAUACCGUCGUAGUCUUAACCAUAAACCAUGCCGACUAGGGAUUGGAGGAUGUUCACUGAUUGACUCCUUCAGCACCUUACGGGGAACUAAAGUCUUUGGGUUCCGGGGGGAGUAUGGUCGCAAGGCUGAAACUUAAAG